rfam:Gracilibacillus halophilus YIM-C55.5 contig_88, whole genome shotgun sequence.
UCUAGGGCGACCUAGAAUCUGGAGGAAGUCAGAGGCAAAUCCCCGCCUUGAGGGACACGAACUUCAUAGAAGGCUAUCUAUUCUUGGAUGAGAUUGCUAAACAAAUCGAAGUCCGUAUUGCCGAAGGGAAUAGGCAGUAAAUGAAGCAAGGACAUGGGGAGGAAGUGUGUGUA